rnacentral:rRNA from 1 species
UUUAAAAAAAAAAACGUUAAAAAUACCAGUUCUCGUUCGAUAACUGCAGUCAAGCAACGUUGGGCACGAUUGGUACUUGGAUGGUGCCCGCUUGGGAAUACCGUGUACUGUUGGCA